GCGCUCGCUUCGGCAGCACGUUAGUAAGACUGGAACAUACAGAGGAAAUUAACGCGGCUCCUGCAGAAGGACGACACACAAAUUCCUGAAGUGUUUUU
rnacentral:snRNA from 1 species